rnacentral:rRNA from 1 species
AUUGAACGCUGGCGGAAUGCUUUACACAUGCAAGUCGAACGGCAGCACGGACUUCGGUCUGGUGGCGAGUGGCGAACGGGUGAGUAAUAUAUCGGAACGUAUCCAAUAAUGGGGGAUAACUAAUCGAAAGGUUGGCUAAUACCGCAUACGUCCUACGGGAGAAAGCUAGGGACCUUCGGGCCUGGCGUUAAUGGAGCGGCCGAUAUCUGAUUAGCUAGUUGGUGAGGUAAAGGCUCACCAAGGCGACGAUCAGUAGCUGGUCUGAGAGGACGACCAGCCACACUGGAACUGAGACACGGUCCAGACUCCUACGGGAGGCAGCAGUGGGGAAUUUUGGACAAUGGGCGCAAGCCUGAUCCAGCCAUUCCGCGUGAGUGAAGAAGGCCUUCGGGUUGUAAAGCUCUUUCGCAAGGGAAGAAAACUUAGUUACUAAUAUUAACUGAGGUUGACGGUACCUUGAUAAGAAGCACCGGCUAACUACGUGCCAGCAGCCGCGGUAACAC